UUAUUACAUCCAAUAUAUGAGUACAAUAGAUGUAAUAACAUCUUAUGUUAUGAACAGACGGAGUACUUCAUACAACUUUCAGGAAUUACACGGACACUUACUUGUGACAAAGUGAUCACAGAUACACCCACAUUAGCUCCUAGAAUGUACAAAUGCUUUCAACAUCGACACUCGUAGCACUGCAAUGAAAUACAAUAUUUUAGGACCCAGAACAGCGAAUGAGAAAAGGAAUGGCAAAAGAGUAUUGUGGCGCUGCACAUACUUAGUGCACCCCUCGAGGAUGCCGAUUUUAGGAUGCUGGAAGGAGAAACGAACC
rnacentral:lncRNA from 1 species